CCUUGAGAAAUAAUAACAAAACAAAAUUAUCAUUUUCCAAUUCCAAAGUUCUGAAAUUCUGAACUAAGAAAUAUGGCUGUUGAAAAUUAAGUUUGUUAAUGCACAAAUCACAAUUGAAAUUCACAAAUUGUGCAGGCAUAUAAAGUUUACAUUUAACCCAUAGUCCAUUCUACACAAUCCCGAUUUUAUACUUAUGUGACAACGUACAAACCAUCAGCAGUAGGCAUUCCCUCAUUCAAGGUCCGGGGACGAUGGUGUUUCGAUUCCUUCUGCGCUACUUCUCGAACCAUCCUCAUCUCAUUGAUCGUUUGUCAGAGUCUUAUCCUAUGCGUCGAGCGGCCCAACUGACGGUCUACCUGUUCCAUCGCUCCAAAUCCCUGCUGGAGGACACGGCCGUGAAGCAGAAAGCCAUCCAGUUCAAGGACAAAUUUGCAGACGAGCUGAAAAAAGAAUGGGGCAAGGCUCGAGGUGGAAAAUAAGUAAUUAGAUAAAUGAGUCACAGGUACCACGAAAAGGAUAACGCAUUUAUAGUCAGCCAAUUUGAGCCAAUUAAAUAUAUAUAUUAAUGCCAUCUGAUUAAGAAGGAUAAGAAACUAAAAUCUGACCUGUCCAAUAAAUUUGUAAUGAUUAUUACUAGUAGUAUGCAAGGCGAGAAUCUUAAUAAAUAUUAGUCUACUAGUAUCGAAAUAAACCAGUACACUAACACACUUGA